UUUUGUGGGGUGCUCGAGUGGCGAACGGGUGAGUAACACGUGAGUAACCUGCCCUUGACUUUGGGAUAACUUCAGGAAACUGGGGCUAAUACCGGAUAGGAGCUCCUGCUGCAUGGUGGGGGUUGGAAAGUUUCGGCGGUUGGGGAUGGACUCGCGGCUUAUCAGCUUGUUGGUGGGGUAGUGGCUUACCAAGGCUUUGACGGGUAGCCGGCCUGAGAGGGUGACCGGCCACAUUGGGACUGAGAUACGGCCCAGACUCCUACGGGAGGCAGCAGUGGGGAAUAUUGCACAAUGGGCGGAAGCCUGAUGCAGCAACGCCGCGUGCGGGAUGACGGCCUUCGGGUUGUAAACCGCUUUCGCCUGUGACGAAGCGUGAGUGACGGUAAUGGGUAAAGAAGCACCGGCUAACUA
rnacentral:rRNA from 1 species